rnacentral:rRNA from 1 species
CAGCAGCCGCGGGAAUACAGAGGGUGCAAGCGUUAAUCGGAAUUACUGGGCGUAAAGCGCGCGUAGGUGGUUUGUUAAGUUGGAUGUGAAAUCCCCGGGCUCAACCUGGGAACUGCGUUCAAAACUGACUGACUAGAGUAUGGUAGAGGGUGGUGGAAUUUCCUGUGUAGCGGUGAAAUGCGUAGAUAUAGGAAGGAACACCAGUGGCGAAGGCGACCACCUGGACUAAUACUGACGCUGAGGCACGAAAGCGUGGGGAGCAAACAGGAUUAGAGACCCGAGUAGUCCCUGUCUCUUAUAC